GUUCUUUUAAGUGAAAUGAAGAAAUUCUUGGUUAUCGGAACAAUCUUAGGUUUAGUAGCAGUAUCAUCUGCCGGUUAUGGUGGUGUUGGUGGAACUGCAUCUGCAUCAGCUUCAGCAUCAGCUAGUGGCGGAGGCCAUGGAGGUGGUGGCCUUGGCGGAGGUGGUCACUUAGGUGGUGGCCAUAUUGGAGGUGGCCUUGGAGGUGGUCAUAUUGGAGGUGGUCUUGGAGGUGGUCA